rnacentral:rRNA from 1 species
GCAGUAGCCGCGGUAACACAGAGGGUGCGAGCGUUAAUCGGAUUUACUGGGCGUAAAGCGUGCGUAGGCGGCUUUUUAAGUCGGAUGUGAAAUCCCUGAGCUUAACUUAGGAAUUGCAUUCGAUACUGGGAAGCUAGAGUAUGGGAGAGGAUGGUAGAAUUCCAGGUGUAGCGGUGAAAUGCGUAGAGAUCUGGAGGAAUACCGAUGGCGAAGGCAGCCAUCUGGCCUAAUACUGACGCUGAGGUACGAAAGCAUGGGGAGCAAACAGGAUUAGAUACCCCGGUAGUCCCUGUCUCUUAUAC